GAAGCCUGGAGAGCGAGAGGGGUCAGUGCGCACCAACCCCUCUCGCUCUCCAGGCUUCAGGCAUAGCCACCUGAAGCCUUUGGAGCGCAGCGGGACCUCGCGUUGCGCUCCAAAGGCUUCGGGUUCCUUUCGCUGAAGCCGGGAGAGCAAGACUCUCCUGGCUUCAGCAGAGAGUGAGAGCUGCUUAGCGCCCCUUCAGUGAAGCGGGAGAAGAAAUGG